ACACUUACCUGGCAGGGGAGACACCUUGAUCAUGAAGGAGGUUUUCCCAGGGUGAGGCUCAUCCAUUGCUGACCCCUGCGAUUUCCCCAAAUGCGGGAAACUCGACUGCAUAAUUUGUGGUAGUGGGGAGGGAAAGAGAGAGAGAGAGAGAGAGAAAGGACUCUAU